GAAUCUGCCAGUGCUUUGAUUUGGGACUUCCCAGCCUCUGAAACUAUGAGAAAUAAAUUUCUGUUGUUUAUAAGCUAUCCAGUUAAUAUUUGUCA